GUAGUCAUAUGCUUGUCUCAAAGAUUAAGCCAUGCAUGUCUAAGUAUAAGCAAUUAUACCGCGAAACUGCGAAUGGCUCAUUAUAUAAGUUAUCGUUUAUUUGAUAGUACCUUACUACUUGGAUAACCGUGGUAAUUCUAGAGCUAAUACAUGCUAAAAAUCCCGACUUCGGAAGGGAUGUAUUUAUUAGAUUAAAAACCAAUGCCCUUCGGGGCUCACUGGUGAUUCAUGAUAACUCCUCGAAUCGCAUGGCCUUGUGCCGGCGAUGGUUCAUUCAAAUUUCUUCCCUAUCAACUUUCGAUGUUUGGGUAUUGGCCAAACAUGGUUGCAACGGGUAACGGAGGGUUAGGGCUCGACCCCGGAGAAGGAGCCUGAGAAACGGCUACUACAUCCAAGGAAGGCAGCAGGCGCGCAAAUUACCCAAUCCCGACACGGGGAGGUAGUGACAAUAAAUACUGAUACAGGGCUCUUUUGGGUCUUGUAAUUGGAAUGAGUACAAUUUAAAUCCCUUAACGAGGAACAAUUGGAGGGCAAGUCUGGUGCCAGCAGCC
rnacentral:rRNA from 1 species